UACGUAGGGGGCAAGCGUUGUCCGGAUUUAUUGGGCGUAAAGAGCGUGUAGGCGGCCAGGUAGGUCUGCUGUGAAAACUCGAGCUCAACCUCGAGACGCCGGUGGAAACCAUCAGACUAGAGUCCGGAAGAGGAGAGUGGAAUUCCUGGUGUAGCGGUGAAAUGCGCAGAUAUCAGGAAGAACACCCGUGGCUAAGGCGGCUCUCUAGUACGGUACUGACGCUGAGACGCGAAAGCGUGGGGAGCGAACAGG
rnacentral:rRNA from 1 species